rnacentral:lncRNA from 1 species
CACAUUCCAGAACCAAAGUCCUAACCUUGCUGUCGAUGGGUGUCUUCAGAGAUAAACCAGGUUCAACUGGAAUGGGAAUGACCGGAUAGUCACAAGCCAGCAUAGUCUUAAUGCCUAAAUGGUCCUUGCUUGAUGCCAUUUCUCAUUUAUUCAGAGGCACAUUUAGCCUGUCCAGAACUGUGGUCAGGAUGAUGCCAUAUGGAGUAGCAUGAGCCUUGGAGCCAUUGAUGACCUUGUCUAGUAAUUUUACAAUAAGGGGCGGCCAGUUGAUUUGCUUUCCUCUCUCAAGGAACUCCAUAAGAACCAGGUCCAUGUAGUUUGCAGUAUGUCUUGUCUCUUGUCUGGACAGUAGGCACUUAUUGAUAAACUCAAACACAACCCUGUGUUCAGGCCUCAUCUCACUUUUCUGCACAGCCCUGGCUUCAUUCACAUCCUCUGAAUCACAGUAUCUCUUGGUGAUAUCAAGAGCAAAGUAAGGGAGUCCAGUCAUGGCCACCUCUGCCUAGUGUAAUCAUCAAACCCUUCAAAGGGUAUAUCCUGAAUUUCUCCCAGUUUCUUAGCAUCAAACUGCACUGGGACUCCCUUCACCAAACUACUGACAACCCCAUCAUUAACAGCGGCAUUUGCCAUAAAAUCAAUUAAUUCAUUUCUGGCUAUUCUCCCAUCUAUCUUAAGGACCAUGUCCUUCUAACCUUGAGCAGCUAAAGAGUCAACCAACCUCAUCAUACCUAGCUCAACCAGGUCCUUCAACAAUCUUCCUUUCAAAAUUUUCCUCCAGCCAAAGAUGGAAAACUUAUCAUGUUCCUUCUUAGAAUCAUCUUCUUCUUCUCCACUCCACUCUUAAUCAUCUAAAACUUUUGCUUUUUUUGCUUUCAGUGCAGACCUUGUCAUCUUGGCUAAUGAGGGUUCAGCAGACACAGGCACAUAAGAGGACUUCUUAGAAGAAGUCUUGAACUUCUUAGAUUUUGGUGUAGGAACCUCCACUAUUGUACCCAUUUCUUG